GCCUUGUAUUAGUGUAAUUUGAAACUAUCACACGUUUUGAGGACGUGACAAGGCAU
rnacentral:ncRNA from 2 species